rfam:Picea glauca, whole genome shotgun sequence.
ACAUGCAUACAACAUGGCAUUAAUGCAAUCGAUCCCAUAAAAAAUCCAUAGUUAAGUGUGUUCAGGCUAGAGUAGUACUGGGAUGGGUGACCGCCUGGGAAGUCCUAGUGUUUAACAUGCC